rnacentral:rRNA from 1 species
AAAACUUUCAGCAACGGAUCUCUUGGCUCUGGCAUCGAUGAAGAACGCAGCGAAAUGCGAUAAGUAAUGUGAAUUGCAGAAUUCAGUGAAUCAUCGAAUCUUUGAACGCACAUUGCGCCCACCAGUACUCUGGUGGGCAUGCCUGUCCGAGCGUCAUUU